UGGUCAAGUGGACAAGACCUCUGACUUUAGAUCACAAGGGCAGGGUUCAAGUCCCUG
rnacentral:tRNA from 1 species